GUGGGUAUAGCUCAGUAGUAGGGCACAUGCUUAGCAUGCACAAUGUCCUGGGUUCAAUCCCCAGUACCUCCU
rnacentral:tRNA from 1 species